UAAAGUUUGAUAUUAUUGUUCGAACGAAAUUUUGUCUGAACCUAAUCUCAACUGAUCGAACCACGUAUCAACGAACCAAAUACCGAGAAAAUUCUUCGAGUGAUUCAAAGAAGAUUCUACGCAGAGUCAUCUGACGUGAAUUCCUAACCUGAACCAAUUUGUCAUCGGCCAGCGAAAGAGCGCGAGCACCACGGUAUCACAGAUCAGCUGUCAGCAAAAGCAUUAUCCUCAUCGGCAAUCCAACCACCUAAACAGCCGGUCGAGUGGACGAGAACGACAAAGAAGAGCAAUCCGUGACACUUUGUUCAGUGGGUCUUCAGACACAGUCGGUCGGAGAAAUCUUACCGGGACAAAGGAACGUGUCGAUCUCGGCCGCGAGAAAAAGAACUGGUCUCGCGGAGCAUUCGUGGUUCUCGAGUCGAGUGGCUGAGCCGAUUAAAAUUAGCACGAGCCUCCCAUUGUUCCCUUGCACGGGCCUCGAAUAAGUACAAUGCACCCUGUUUGUUCACCUGCACGUGCUGUCCCGCAGUUCCGUACCUCCUCUCGUACGAUCCGCGCCAGAUCGGCUGCCGUUAAUAAGACGCCAUAUUGGAAACUGGUAAUUGAUUCUUCGAUGUGAGUAGACAAAAGGAAAAAGUGUUGUUCUCAGCAGUUAAUGCAUAUCGAUCUCUUAAUUUGAUGGUCGGAAUUACAAGUGUAUUGCGAUGAAACGAAUAUUGGUCGAUACCAAUAUCAUUGGCUAUCGAUGGCUAUUAAACGGGCAUUUUGAGGUUAAAAUAUUCAAGCGGAGGAUAUUAGAUGGGAGAUUUGUAUAUUGUUGUGGCAUUUCGCAAAAUUGAAAUUAACGAUGGUGUCAAAUUAUCAAGCCAAUUGCUCUUCUAGUAAUACUCUCUCAUAAAGCAUCAUAACUUUAUGAUAAUUCCAUUAGAAAACUAGCACGACUGUUUCCACAUUUUUACAGAAAGUAACCUAUCCUAGGUAACCUAACCAAAAUCAACCGAACCAUCGUCAUCGUCGUCAAACACUAACAUUCGACUCGAAGUUUGAAUUAGAAGAUAGCAACGAGGUUAUACGAGGGUAAAAGAAGCGAGAGAAAAAUUUUUGAAAUCAGCCGUGGCAGAAGAUAAGGGACACAGAAUCCUUUGUCGUCGAGCGAGACUCGGAAGACACGUGAGACAGACUUUCGCUCUGACUCGUAUCCUGAAGGUAGCUACACAUAAGAGCCGAGCUUUUCUCCGGUCAGUCAUUUCCCGGAAAAGGGAUGAAUUAUGGAGGGAUAGGCGGCGAACGGUCGUGAAACGAGCGAGGUAGUCAAAGGCACGUAAAUUUGCGAUCGCCUUCUCUCGUGAAAAUAACUUCGACACACGCGCGCUUCUAGAAACGCUCGCUUCAGCGAGUUCGAAUGCCUCGACGCGCAUCUGUCGAUACUCGAAUUCGCGAGAAAGUACGAUCGCAACUUUUCAAACGUAGAUACGUCAGAAAUGAUGAGAAAUAUGGGGAAAAUGGGGCAGAUUUGAAAGGACAAAUUUUCCUCGGUGAAUAGUAGAAAUUAUAUAGGGUGUCUUUGACACGUGUAGCUAUCUGUCGAUAUUUGAGCUGCGAUCAGAUUACAACCGAAGCUCUUCUAACGUACGUCUGUAUGGCAAACGAUGACAAAUACGACUGUGAAGUGGAAGAACGAUAAGGACGAUGAGUAGUCAAAAUCGAGAAAAAAAGGCGAAUGAUAAAUUGACAAAAAAUUGAUGAAAAUGCUAAAGAAUGACAAAAGCUACGAGAACGAUAUGGAAGAUAAGAAUGGUGGAGGGAAACAAAUUUACUAUAAAAGACGUGGAAACAUGGCGGAAUUUAUGGCGCGAGAUGCAAAUUUGUCCGGUAUGGUCUUAACUCAGAUUAAACUCUAAGUCUCAGUCAUCCUACGUCUAACGUGACUAAUAAAAAUCCAAACCCAACUAAAUGUCCCUAUGAAACUUCAAGCUCGACAGUAAACAGGAUUUGUGAAUGGGAAAACAGAGACAGAGGAAACACAAUGGAGGAGGAAAUCUGUUCUUCUUUUUUCUCUUGAUAAGUGGGAGGCAGAGGCGUGAAGUAUACAGCCCCAUUCAAUGACAUUGGUUUGCAUACGCCUUUGAAACCCUUUUUUGCAUCUACCUUUCCAUCGAAUUCGUCGUCCUCGGCGAGAAGAUUGGCCUGAUUCAAGCGUUCCACACGAGCAUUCGCUAAAUUCCACAAUACGACGUGUCCUGAUCCUUCGACUGGCACGCCAAGGAUGACUGAAUACCUAAAUGUAGGCUGAUCCGCACUCCAUUACCUCCUAAAAUAGCAGCCUCUGUGACGUUGCCAACUUUUUGCCGCAACGAGCAUUUAGGCUUCACGUGAAUCUGAAUAAUUGUCUGCCAACCUGAAUAUCGAUAGCAAAGGGCGAUCAAUGAUAUAGUAGUUGAUCCUUGCUUAUAGCCUAGUAUUAAUAUUCUUUGUAAAAAUAUUCCAGACAAUUUGUAAAACUUAGACUACCGAUCUGUUAGCUGAUGAGAGCUACUGGUAAACGUCUUCGGUAACAAAGAUGGUGCUAUAGUCAUGCUCGUAGAACACGAGAAUUGGCCACGUAGUCAGGAAGAUUAUAGAUUGAGGGAAGGUCGUUUAACCGGUGCUUUCACCACCAGGGGAUCGAUAUCGUGGCCGAGUCUUGCUGAAAUUUUCAGCAAGACACGUCCUAAUGGACCUGUCAGCGGCCACCAGAUACCAGUGUCUAUGGAACAGGCUAGAUAUCGAUAAUUGCCCGCUUCGAUCCAUCCUAGCAAUUUCCUUUGCAUUAGGCUUCUACCCUAGCCUCGAUCACUUUGUCAAGACGAUGAAGGAAGCUUGUGUUUUUUUAUCUAUCAGAGAUUUAGAGGCUAAUUUAAAGAAGAUGUUGCAUGAAAGAGAGCGAUAAAGAAGAAGAGAAGGUACUUAAAUUUAGAUUUCUUAUCUGAGCGACAGGAUUUCAACUUUAUUAGCCACGUAGAGAGAAUUUUACAGACAAUUGUGCUCUGUACAAAAUGAUUUUGACACGAAUUUUUAGAUUAAUACAUCCAGCGGGAUGGUAUAUCUUCCUUUUUCAUUUUCUUCUUCAUGUUUCUGUUUUUUUUUUUUUUUUGUUUUCUAGCGGAACGUUGAAUCGGAAAUGGUCCUUCAAAUAUUCAAAAAGUAUGCCCGAUUGAUAUGGAGCUGCGAUUAAACGAUAAAAGUUGCUGCAGUUCUUUGAAAACGAUUCAAUUUAGCCUGCACUUCUGCAGGUUAAAAUAUUUAAGGCUAUUUCGAUUCCUAGCAAUUUCUCCAUGUAACGUAACGUUCUCCAUGUAAUGUAACCAGUAGUUAAAUAGAAAUCUCAUUGGAGUGAGAAAAUUACUUGGUGUAUCUUCAGAAAUCAAAGAAUAUCGCCCCAAUUGUAGCAACCAAACAAAGAUCUGUCGAUUAUCUUGAUUAAUCAAAGUGGAGGUUAAAAUAUUUUUCAAAUAUUUUUUAUCUGGAAGGGCAAAUCAUUAGAAUUGUUUCUCUAACUCUCGAGCACUCAAAAUUCUUCUAGAAAUUGAGAAAUUAUGCUGACCCAAAGUUGAGAAACCUCUGUCAACAAUGAGAUCAAAAAAUGUUUCUUCAACUGGCAACAUCGUUUCAAGUGGCUUGCCUAUCUUGUCCAAAAUUGCUAUCA